GACGAACGCUGGCGGCGUGCUUAACACAUGCAAGUCGAACGGAAAGGCCCUGCUUUUGUGGGGUGCUCGAGUGGCGAACGGGGGAGUAACACGUGAGUAACCUGCCCUUGACUUUGGGAUAACUUCAGGAAACUGGGGCUAAUACCGGAUAGGAGCUCCUGCUGCAUUGUGGGGGUUGGAAAUUUUCGGCGGUUGGGGAUGGACUCGCGGCUUAUCAGCUUGUUGGUGGGGUAGUGGCUUACCAAGGCUUUGACGGGUAGCCGGCCUGAGAGGGUGACCGGCCACAUUGGGACUGAGAUACGGCCCAGACUCCUACGGGAGGCAGCAGUGGGGAAUAUUGCACAAUGGGCGGAAGCCUGAUGCAGCAACGCCGCGUGCGGGAUGACGGCCUUCGGGUUGUAAACCGCUUUCGCCUGUGACGAAGCGUGAGUGACGGUAAUGGGUAAAGAAGCACCGGCUAACUACGCG
rnacentral:rRNA from 1 species